rnacentral:tRNA from 1 species
GGCGAAGUGUCCGAGUGGUCAAGGAGUUUGACUCGAAAUCAAAUGGCUUCGGCCGCGCAAGUUCGAAUCUUGUCUUCGUCG